rnacentral:rRNA from 1 species
GACGGAAGGUGCAAGCGUUGCUCGGAAUCACUGGGCGUAAAGGGUGCGUAGGCGGCGCGGUAAGUCGGGUGUGAAAUCUCGGAGCUUAACUCCGAAACUGCAUUCGAUACUGCCGUGCUUGAGGACUGGAGAGGAGACUGGAAUUUACGGUGUAGCGGUGAAAUGCGUAGAUAUCGUAAGGAAGACCAGUGGCGAAGGCGGGUCUCUGGACAGUUCCUGACGCUGAGGCACGAAGGCCAGGGGAGCAAACGGG